rnacentral:sRNA from 1 species
GUUUCAAUUCCUCAUAGGCAGGCUAUCGGCUUCCAAACAAAUCAACUUCCCUUGUUGCCAAUGCUCG